AUUGAACGCUGGCGGCAGGCCUAAAACAUGCAAGUCGAACGAGUGGCGGACGGGUGAGUAAUGUCUGGGAAACUGCCUGAUGGAGGGGGAUAACUACUGGAAACGGUAGCUAAUACCGCAUACUAUCAGAUGUGCCCAUAUGGGAUUAGCUAGUAGGUGGGGUAACGGCUCACCAAGGCGACGAUCCCUAGCUGGUCGGAGAGGAUGACCAGCCACACUGGAACUGAGACACGGCCCAGACUCCUACGGGAGGCAGCAGUGGGGAAUAUUGCACAAUGGGCGCAAGCCUGAUGCAGCCAUGCCGCGUGUAUGAAGAAGGCCUUAGGGUUGUAAAGUACUUUCAGCGGGGAGGCGUUACCCGCAGAAGAAGCACCGGCUAACUCCGUGCCAGCAGCCGCGGUAAUAC
rnacentral:rRNA from 1 species